rnacentral:rRNA from 1 species
UACGUAGGGUGCAAGCGUUAAUCGGAAUUACUGGGCGUAAAGCGUGCGCAGGCGGUUAUGCAAGACAGAGGUGAAAUCCCCGGGCUUAACCUGGGAACUGCGUUUGUGACUGCAUCGCUGGAGUGCGGCAGAGGGGGAUGGAAUUCCGCGUGUAGCAGUGAAAUGCGUAGAUAUGCGGAGGAACACCGAUGGCGAAGGCAAUCCCCUGGGCCUGCACUGACGCUCAUGCACGAAAGCGUGGGGAGCAAACAGG